GAUGAACGCUGGCGGCGUGCCUAAUACAUGCAAGUCGAGCGAACAGACGAGGAGCUUGCUUCUCUGACGUUAGCGGCGGAGGGGUGAGUAACACGUGGAUAACCUACCUAUAAGACGGGGAUAACUUCGGGAAACCGGAGCUAAUACCGGAUAAUAUAUUGAACCGCAUGGUUCAAGAGUGAAAGACGGUUUUGCUGUCACUUAUAGAUGGAUCCGCGCCGCAUUAGCUAGUUGGUAAGGUAACGGCUUACCAAGGCAACGAUGGGAAGCCGACCCCAGAGCGUCACUGGCCACCCUGGCUCAGAGCCCGGGCCCCGACUCUUGGGGGGGGACGCGGUCCGGACUCUUCCGCAAGGGAGCAAUGCCUGACGGAGCACCGCGGGGUGAGUGAUGAAGCUCUUAGGACGCUAAAACUCAGUAGUUAGUCAGAUUCAAAUGUGUAGGUAACUGUGCAGAUAUUGACGGUACCUAAUAAGAAAGCCACGGCUAACUACGUG
rnacentral:rRNA from 1 species